AUACAUAUGUAAAUUCUACAGAAUUCAAACUACCCGCCAACCGGCAUAUUUACUUAUGCUUUGUUUUACCGGCUGUCAUUUUACUGAAUAGGUUAGAUCACGAGAGAAGAACGGUAAUUCAUGACUUAAGAAAUCGAUUCUCUAUUCGACAGAAUCGAUCGUAUUAAUUACCCCAAAGAUUUAGGUUAUUACAAAUCGAUUUUUUCUACGCCAUGCCGUUGAAGGUUAUCCUCCGUAUCUCCAUGAACGAAAACACAAAAGGUGAAAGAAUAGAAUGUGUAGAAUUUAUAAUAAAACUAGAAGAUGAAGUGAAUUACGUUUUUCCACUGGAAUUGUCAGCGCAAAUUGGGUGUAAAUUCUAUAGAAUUCAAACUACCUGCUAAUCGACAUAUUUACUUUUGCUUUGUUUUACCGGUAACCUUUUUACUGAAUAGAUUAGAUCACGAGAGAAGAACGGUAAUUUAGGACUUAAGAAAUCGAUUCUCGAUUCGACAGGUAAAAUUUCUAGUAGAUUUGUUAUUAAUGAUUAUUGUAUAUAAUUCAAUUUAUUCCUAAAAUAAACUCGAUUUUCCAGAAUCGAUCGUCUUAUUUACCCCAAGGAUUUACGUUAUUACACAUAUAAUGAAGCAGUAGAACAAUCAGUAACUGACAACUCCUCCAGGAAUAUCCUGAAAUAAUUGAUUUUACCAGAGAACAGAUUUAAUAUGUAUGCAGCUCUUCAGAACUCGCGUUAUCCAAGUAGACCAAUACAAUCAUCCCGCUGAAUCAUCCAGAUACACCUGCUGGAAUAACAUUGCCGUCAUUAUCGUGUCUCUUUCACGCAGCACACGCGAAAGCUCGCGUGCACCUUCUUCAUUUUGUCCGUUUGGCUCCGAAGCUUUUCCAUCCUUUACCUUUGCCUUUGCUGUUAGUUGCGCGCGUCUCUUGCCAUUCUUCGCGUAUCGUAUUUACGUUAUAUAAGCUUGGCUUGUGCUGACAAUGCAUGGAGAACCGUAGUGUCUGUUCGUUAUCUCGCGCGUUGAAAAAGCCAGAUGCACCGGCGACAAUGCUUAAGAUCCGACAAAGAAUUUCGCCCUGGCUUCUAACUUUUGUGGCUGGUCGUCCUCCUUUUUCUCCUGUUUCAUUCUCUGUCUUUCUUUCUCUGUAUUCUCUGUCCGUCUGUCUGUCUGUCUCUCUAGGUUCUUCAAUCUGUUUGUGCCUGCUCUCAUCUUUUUCUUCCUCCGUUUCUUUCUCUUCUCUCAAGCCUCUUCCUGUGCCUGCGCUCUCUGUCCAUUUCUUUCUUUCAUUUCUUGCUUUCUCCUCGUUAUUUGAUGCAAGAAACGUGACACGGGCCAUUGCAGCACGAGUCAAAGCGUCUCACGCGUAAUUUAACUUCAGCUUCGGUAAACGCAACUCCACGACACACAGCCGUGUUUCUACCCCUUUGUGCUAUGGCCACGAGUCUGCUUCGGCUGUCCACACGACUUUCACUCGUCCACCGCGGACACGUAGACAGCCCUUAUCCCCCGGCGGGACACCAAAAGCCUGGCAUUCCUAGGACUUUGCCCGGGAUAUGUAUUUGACUCUGAUAGCUACAGAGUCACGUGUCUCGAAUAAAAUACCGCUCCGUCCAGACGACAUCCAAGCAGCCGCAUAUGAGUUCCACGUUCCGCGUUAUAUCACACUACGAUGUUUUAUUUAUCAAGUUUGAACUGAUAUUCCCAGCACUGGCGAAACGUUGAACCACUCUUGAAUCUGAUAUAUCGGUAAUUUUAACGCUAAAGCAACACACGUGGCACACCAUUUAUUGUAUCAUUUAUGUUUUAGUUAACCGAGUCCGAUUAUGUUAAAUCACGUGCCAUUUACGCAAAGCCUGAUUUAAAAAACGCUUCAUUGAAAGAUAAGAGGUUGUGCGAGUAAUUUCUAGAGCCGCUGUGAGAUCAAAGUGGCUAACUGAACAUCAACAGCUGCGGUGCCGAAAUAUAUUGAUGACCGUUGGGCCUUCUGAAGUUUUCUGACCCUUUUGGCUUGUCGGCAUUUGCGCUUUAUCGUCCACAUUGUCUGUAUGUCGGAGAUCUUUCCUUGGCAUUGUAAUAGAGACGAAAGAAGCCGCUGUAAAGGGAAUCGUUAUGCCAAAAACUAAACGCUAGAGAAGAUGUAGAGCUCUCCUUGAAGCGAGACCCACUUGAACAAAAAACAGGAGAAGGCGUAAAUGAAUGAAGCAUGAAAAGGGACAAUCGACUGUAUGAAUGGCCGAAGGGAUAAGAGAUGUUGCUAGUACUUUCCUCUUCUGUAUACUUCUCUACGCUUUAUAUGCGAGGUACGUUUCGCGUGGCACGUAAAAGAUUCACGAAGUGCUCGAAAAGUCUCUGCUGACCGUUUUGCAAUUCCCUAAGACCGGUUUAAAGGAAGCAAAGUAGCUUAUACUAAAACAACGAAAAUUUAGAACAAUCGAAAUCAUUAUUGAGUAUUAAUAUCGUAGUAUCGUGGACAAAUGGCCUAAGAAAUAUCGGCUGAACCAUAAACAAUAUUGUGAGAAGACCUAAGUGCCGUUAGACCAAAAGGGCCUGGCAGUUUUACUAAAGAGUCGAGUGGGGGAGUUGUGAGUUGAGAGUCGAGUCGAGUAGUUGGCAGUUGAUAGUCGAGUGGUGAGCAGUCGAGUAGUGAGGAGUAGAGAGUUGAGUUGCCGAGUUGUUAUGAGUUGUGAACUAUUACAAUAGUUGUGAGUUGUGAAUUAAUUAUUUAGUUGUCUUAGUUACAGCACAUUACUGUAUUUAGUUCGCGUUAAAUAACCAUCGUUUCCUGUUUUAUCCAUUGAUCGAUAAACUUAUCAUAUAGUUUAAAGAUCAUUGGAAACCCUAAUUUCUAAUAUUUCUAAAUAAAUAAAAAAAAUCCUGUAAUAUUUAA